CGGGGAGGGAGAGGCCGGGGACUGCAGGAGCAGCUGGUGCUCAGCACGGAGGCAGCAGUGCAAACCCACAAGGCUGCACUUGGCCGUGGGAGCCCCAGGGUUCCACCAGCACAGCCCCUUCCUUGCCAGGAGCCCCAGACAGGCGCCCGGCAACCUCCGUGUUUACCCCACUGCUCAUCCCAAGUUGGUUCUGCACAGAGAUGGCCCAGAACGUCCUUAACCCAAGCAAGCAAAGGGCUCUGGUUCCUGCUGAGGCUGCAGGUUCGGGAAGCCGCGUGUCCUACGACAGGGACCCUGGAGGGCUGGGGCCCGGCCUGGAGGGGCUGACCUCAGACCCCAUCAACUGUACCACCCUCUCCUCGCUUCCCCCCGUCCAUCCCCCCAUGUCUGACCCCCUGCAGCCCUGGCCCAGUCUCCUGAGACCAGAGAAGUUUUGGAGACCUGAGGCCCUGAGGACAAGCCAGGGUGGACGUGCCUGAGGCCAGCUCGGCAGCGGAGUGUGGGAGUUUGUGCCCAAGGACCCUGAUGGUCUAGGGGUCCCAAGGAAAGCGACCACUGCCACGCAGUUCUCCCAGGAGCCUUCGGCCAUGUGGAAUGGGGGCCCCUGAAGUCGUUCCCCAUGACUUUGCUGGGCGAAGAUGCAGGGUCUCAUCUGCCGGAGGGACCGGACACUGGGAGUGCACUCCGGCAAGCCCAGCUGCAGGGCUCACCACGAUCCUGGAGCGCUCCGAGGCCCCUGGACGUCUCUCUACCCUGGCAGAAUGGGAUGUGGGCCUGAGGGCCAGGCAGGGGAUUUGGGAGCACCACUGACCGGCCUGAGACCCUGGCCUGCUCAGCGAGAGAGAAGACCGGGGAAGCACGACACACCAUACUUGCAGGGCACACCGUGGGAUGGGGGACGUGGAAGCUGGCGCCCACGGGCCGGCCGGGCUCUAACCUGAGCUGGGCCAGGGCCUUGCGCCUAAGGGGACCCAGGUGGGAUGUGCUAAGGUCCCACAAGUGUCCAGGCGAGUCCCAGGAAGAGCAGAGGAUGCCAGAGGCCAGAGCACCGGCGGCCGAGCCUGCCUCUGACCCUGGCAGCAGGGGGGCAGCGCCGGCUAGAGGCGCCCACAGCCUGUGAGGGAGGUGGGCCAACCACACAGGCCCCAGGGAUGGUCACUGACUUUCCCUCACUUGGUGGGUCUGCUGCUGAGUUGUGGGGCCCACUCUCACCCCACUCUGGGGCCCCCAUGUCCCGGCAUGCCUGCGGCGAGCUUCAGGACCCCGUGGGCAUCCCUGGGCACGGAAACAGGGCCCCGAGGGGCCCUAUGGAGGGAAGGGAUCCCUGAGACACACACCGGCCCCGCUCACAAACACUUGGUGGUCCAGGGGAGCUCCCGGCCCCCCUGCCCGGGCCCAGCCCCCACGUGGAUCCUUGUUCCCCUGGGGUCCUCUAACGGGAUGGGCCCCACUCUCCCAAAACUCCCAGCCACCCCCCUCCCCCGCCUGCCUGUCAGGACCGUGCACUGCGGCUGGAGAAUCUCGCACACAGACCAGAGCACCGACAUUAGGAUCCUUACCCAGAUUCGGCCACUGUCACCCAGAGGCAAGUCUGGUCCCAGCUACGCCCCUCGACUCACUGUCCAGACGACUUUCAGGCCCGUCCCAGACACACACCGCUCUGCUCACAGACCCUCCGCCCUCAUUCAUCGCGUCUGAACAACGCACCAGUAACCCUUCAAUAACCCUUCCACGUCAGCACAUUUUCCCGCGUGCCCCCCGAAUGGGUUGGGGUGGCUUCUUCACGUCUAGACCCCCGCAGAACUCACAUGGGCACUGCUGCCCUGUCUCGGAGGCCCCCCUUUUGAUCAAUAAGCCCCCCCUAUAAUUCUUGCCAUUAAUUUGUGGAAGGAACAAGCUCAUGGGUCUUAUGGAGUUUCCAACAUCCCAGACUUUAUGGAUGUUUUUCCACACUCUGUAUUUCUCGUUAGACCUGAUUGGUUUGAGGUCAAGUUUUCUGGCAAGACUGCUUCAGAAGGGGAAGGCCCUUGAGGGUUGGUGUGUCCCUUCCUGUGACAUCAGGUAGGUGUGUCCCCUCCACUGUCGGUGGGCAGGGUGUGGCCAGCUAGAGCCACCUGCCAUCAGGGUCCCCAUCAUGGUUUCUCAUGGUUUUAGCAGCUCCUGGCGACACUUUCGGGACCCGGAGUCAGCAAACCAAAUCCUGCUCUCCCAGAGCGGCUCCUGGCCUCUGACUUCCGAGAAGGCCUGCACCCUCUUCUAAAGGGCUCACCCGACUGGCUCAAGUCCAGCAGGAAGACCUCCCCUGAUCAACGCAAAGGCAGCUGGUUAGAGGCCUUGCCUACCUCUGCAGAAUCCUUUUGCAUUUGCCCUAGUCCGCCGGCGGGAAGCAAGUCACCAGCCUGGCAUGCACCCAGGGGCAGGUGUGGUGCAUGCCUGUUUGACUCAUGGUGUGUCCCACGCCACAAGGCCCUCUGUUGAAGCGACGACCGCUGGUGCCCGUCCUGGCCUGCCCCUGCUGCUCCCCCACCCCAGUCCGGGAGGCCGGCUGGCCGCACGGUGUGGACGUCUCCCUCCCUCCUCCGCCGCACAGGACUCGUUACGUGUGCCGCAUGGCAUGGGUGUUCCAUACAUACUUGACCAGCCCUCCAGGGAUGGACAUCCAGGUCUGAUGGACCCCUGCUAGCACGCAUGUGUGCAAGGAUGUCUGCGUGAGAAAUCCCGGAAUGCGACCUGCUGUGUCAAAGGUUAUGUACGCCUCAAAUUCACUGCAUUUUAUCAAAUUGCCUUUGCAGAAGUUGUUUUGAUUUAUAUUCCCUCCAGCAAAGCACCCGGGACUUUUUGCCCCAUUCUCUUGUUUUAUAGACCUGUGUGCACGUUAAAGCCUUUGUUUGUUUGGCUUUGUUCUCAUCUGAUAAGAAACUGAUGGUAUCUCUGUGUUCUCAUCCACAUUUCUUUUAUUGUCUCCAUAUAUUUAGGCCAACUGUAUUUCCUUUCCUCUGAAUUUUUGCUUAUCUUGGUUGUCAACGUUUCCAUUGGAUUCUUUUUAAGAAAAUUAUUUAUAGGCGCUCCUUGUAUAUUAGGGAAACGAAACUUCUGUGAUCGUAACUCAUUCCGAGUUUGUCAGUGCCCUUUUGACUUUGCCCAUUUAGGUUUUUACUUAAUGAAACACUCAACAAUUUUUUAACCUAAUUAAACAUAAAAGAACAAAUGUAUGUAACCAAAUUCAUGAGUCUUUCAGGGUUUU